AACGAACGCUGGCGGCGUGCCUAACACAUGCAAGUCGAGCGCGAAAGGAACAAUCCGAGUAGAGCGGCGCACGGGUGCGUAACACGUGGAUAAUCUGCCUCAGGGUUGAGGAUAACCUUCCGAAAGGUCGGCUAAUACUCGGUAAGCUUACGGUGACUUCGGUCGCUGUGAGAAAACUAGACCUCUAUUUAUAAGUUUAGGCCCAGAGAUGAGUCCGCGGCCCAUCAGCUAGUUGGCGGGGUAACGGCCCACCAAGGCUACGACGGGUAGCUGGGCGGAGAGGACGAUCAGCCACACUGGAACUGGGACACGGUCCAGACUCCUACGGGAGGCAGCAGUGGGGAAUUUUCCACAAUGGGCGAAAGCCUGAUGGAGCAACGCCGCGUGUGUGAUGAAGGUCUUCGGAUCGUAAAGCACUUUCGACUGGGACGAAAAACCUUUGGCUAACAUCCAGGGGCCUGACGGUACCAGGAGAAGAAGCACCGGCUAACUCUGUGCCAGCCGCCGCUGUAACAC
rnacentral:rRNA from 1 species